CGGGUGAGUAACACGUGGAUAACCUACCUAUAAGACUGGGAUAACUUCGGGAAACCGGAGCUAAUACCGGAUAAUAUUUUGAACCGCAUGGUUCAAAAGUAAAAGACGGUCUUGCUGUCACUUAUAGAUGGAUCCGCGCUGCAUUAGCUAGUUGGUAAGGUAACGGCUUACCAAGGCAACGAUGCAUAGCCGACCUGAGAGGGUGAUCGGCCACACUGGAACUGAGACACGGUCCAG
rnacentral:rRNA from 1 species